rnacentral:tRNA from 1 species
GCCUGGAUGGCUCAGUCGGUUGAGUGUCCGACUUCGGCUCAGGUCAUGAUCUCACAGUCUGUGGGUUCGAGCCCCAUGUCGGGCU